AGACGUCUACAUUAGAUACCCCGGUAGUCCCAGCCGUAAACUAUACGCGUUAGGUGUAUCGGUGACCACGAGUUACCGAGGUGCCGAAGGGAAACCGUGAAACGUGCCGCCUGGGAAGUACGGUCGCAAGGCUGAAACUUAAAGGAAUUGGCGGGGAGCACCACAACGGGUGGAGCCUGCGGUUUAAUUGGACUCAACGCCGGGAAGCUCACCGGAUAAGACAGCGGAAUGAUUGCCGGGCUGAAGACUCUGCAUGACUAGCUG
rnacentral:rRNA from 1 species